UACGGAGGAUCCAAGCGUUAUCCGGAAUCAUUGGGUUUAAAGGGUGCGUAGGCGGUCUAGUAAGUCAGUGGUGAAAGCCCAUCGCUCAACGGUGGAACGGCCAUUGAUACUGCUGGACUUGAAUUAUUGGGAAGCAACUAGAAUAUGUAGUGUAGCGGUGAAAUGCUUAGAGAUUACAUGGAAUACCAAUUGCGAAGGCAGGUUGCUACCAAUUGAUUGACGCUGAUGGACGAAAGCGUGGGUAGCGAACAGG
rnacentral:rRNA from 1 species